AGUGAACGCUGGCGGUAGGCCUAACACAUGCAAGUCGAACGGCAGCACAGUAAGAGCUUGCUCUUACGGGUGGCGAGUGGCGGACGGGUGAGGAAUACAUCGGAAUCUACUUUUUCGUGGGGGAUAACGUAGGGAAACUUACGCUAAUACCGCAUACGACCUACGGGUGAAAGCAGGGGAUCUUCGGACCUUGCGCGAUUGAAUGAGCCGAUGUCGGAUUAGCUAGUUGGCGGGGUAAAGGCCCACCAAGGCGACGAUCCGUAGCUGGUCUGAGAGGAUGAUCAGCCACACUGGAACUGAGACACGGUCCAGACUCCUACGGGAGGCAGCAGUGGGGAAUAUUGGACAAUGGGCGCAAGCCUUAUCCAGCCAUACCGCGUGUGUGAAGAAGGCCUUCGGGUUGUAAAGCCCUUUUGUUGGGAAAGAAAAGCAGCAGGUUAAUACCCCGCUGUUCUGACGGUACCCAAAGAAUAAGCACCGGCUAACUUCGUG
rnacentral:rRNA from 1 species